GUAAACGCACCACAGUGCGGGACGUUUUUUCGGUUUAACAAUAUAUAGAUCUCUGAGCCUUAUUGCGCCUCAUACAUCAUAUCACCACGUUGAUGCUGUGCGUGAAUGCAUAAAGAUCUACAGAGUCUGAGGUCUGCUUGCCGUCCCAAACCCUGCUGCAUCCUCACUACUGUAAGGAAAUCCAGACGGCGAAAUGGAAAACUGUCGUCUGAGGUUCCCACAGGUGUGAAAACAUGACGAACAUCUCACGAUGCUGAACGUAACCAGGGGAAGCAAUGCGAGGAGACAAACUCCAGCGACCUUGCGUGACGCUACUGAUGUCAUAACCUCCGUAACCGCCUCACAGCUGGUGGGAAUGCAGAACCAAGCAUGGAGGCCCGGGCGGUCUCAAAGGUGGCCGUGUUGUUCCGCCGCAAAGGAUGUGGUCACUGGUUAGACCACACACGCACACAGACAUGCAGGUACACACACACAUACACACACACACACACACACACAAGCAAGACCUCACCAAAUUGUUAUUGUGUUAAAUCGCCGCAAGGAUUGACACAACACUGCGGUGCAUCUUGGAAGCGGAGGAGUUAGCAAUCUGCUGGCUAUUUGACCGCUCGGUUAUGCUGUCAUACAUAAUUAUUAUGUAUAUUAUAUUAAUUAAUAAUAAACUAUUAAUGGGGCUGUGUGUAGAUGGCCAGAGGGUAGAAAUGGAAAUAAACGGGCCUAAAUUAAGCAUGUUCAGGCAUAACAUUGUUGAAGUAAAAUACAAUAACAUAUUGUAAGAAUGAGUGUAUCAGCGUAGUGUUGUACACUGGCCACUAGGUGUCAGUAAUUGUUCAGCAAUACAUGCUGUCCAGACUGCUAAUGUGUGAUUCUAUGUUAUUUGUACAGUAUUUAUUUAACUUCCUAGCAUGUGUGAACAAAAAGUAUAUCAAAGUAUCCUUUAUAUUUCACUCUGUGGCUAAAGUCUGGACACCGCCGGUGUCAGUAAUAUCUUGCCAAUGUCCGUAAGAAUAAUAAUAUGAAUAACAUAAUAUGAAUAAUAAGUGUACCCAGGUGUGCUCACUGGCCAAUUGCAACUUUAAACACGCCGUCAUCCGUUGCUUAACUGCAUACCGAGCGACUUCCUCUUCAUGUGAAAAACAUCAAUAUUUACCCCCAAACAAGACCAAGAGAAGCCUGCAAAGCUGAAAGACGGGCAAACAACGCGCCGCAAAGCUUCUGUCGAGCGCCAGUCGCCGCCACUGCGUGCCAGCUGUAGCUCAUCUUUAUUUAUGACAAAUAUUUCUCUCCUCCUCCGGAGAGCCAAAGUACAUGACAUGCGGAGACUUAUUUUUUUUAAACAGCAUUCCUCCCGCUCGCUGCACUGGCAGGGUCGUUAGGCGGACGCCACAAGUAAAGCUGACAUUCCUGGGAUGCUGGGAGGACUUCUGAGGAUGCAGCUAGGUACCAAUAACAUACACCACGUUCCACUUUCACUGUUGAUUCUCUUCUUUUCAACUUCCUCCACACAUGCUAAAGUCUCGGGGAGGCUAGUUUUUUGCACGGUGUCAUUAAUAAAAUGUAAAAAUAGCACAGACAUCUGGACUUGUAAUAGUGUAAGUUGGCACGCCACACCGCGGAAAGGAACGCUGCAGAAACCAUUAGAACACGUCACAGUGUGACAAUGAAUGAAGUUAUAAAUGAUGUGUGUGCAAAGUGGGCAGGCUAGAAUAUGACGCCACUUAUCGUGGAUCAUGUGGGGAAAAUUAUUCAGGAGAUGAAAGAAAAUGAGGGGUGAUUUUACGGCAUGGGUGGUGUCGGGACAGCUCAUGAAAAUGAGGUUUAAAAACAUUGCAUUUUGGGGUAUGUGUAUGUUACACAACAUAACCACUAAGCAACUACUGCCCCCUGCUGGGAGCAAUAACCACCCACUCCAGAGGAACA